rnacentral:rRNA from 1 species
CUCCGGAGAAAGGGCCUGAGAAAUGGCCACUACGUCUAAGGAUGGCAGCAGGCCCGCAAAUUACCCACUCUCAGAACGAGGAGGUAGCGACGAGAAAUAACAAGACCGUUCUCUUCAGAGGCCGGUCAUUGGAAUGGGUACAAUUUAAACCCUUUAACGAGUAUCUAUGAGAGGGCAAGUCUGGUGCCAGCAGCCGCGGUAAUUCCAGCUCUCAAAAUGCAUAGAAUCAUUGCUGCGGUUAAAAAGCUCGUAGUUGGAUCUGUGCUGGCGGGUCGGUCCACCUUCGGGUGCGCACUGAUUUCGCCGGCUUUCCUGCUGUAUUUGGCCCUGUGCCUUUCAACGGGCGCAGUGUCCAGUGCAGCAAGUUUACCUUGAACAAAUCAGAGUGCUUCAAACAGGCGUUUCGCUUGAAUGUUCGUGCAUGGAAUAAUAGAAGAGGAUUUCGGUUCUAUUUUAUUGGUUUUAUAGACUGAGAUAAUGGUUAACAGAGACUAACGGGGGCAUUAGUAUUGCUACGUGAGAGGUGAAAUUCUUGGACCGUAGCAAGACUGACUACAGCGAAAGCAUUUGCCAAGAAAGUCUUCAUUAAUCAAGAACGAAAGUCAGAGGUUCGAAGGCGAUCAGAUACCGCCCUAGUUCUGACCGUAAACGAUGCCAACUAGUGAUCCGCCGGUGGAACAUUCGCCCUGGUGGGGAACUUCCCGGAAACGAAAGUCUUCCGGUUCCGGGGGAAGUAUGGUUGCAAAGCUGAAACUUAAAGGAAUUGACGGAAGGGCACCACCAGGAGUGGAGCCUGCGGCUUAAUUUGACCCAACACGGGAAAACUCACCCGGCCCGGACACCGUAAGGAUUGACAGAUUGAUAGCUCUUUCAUGAUUCGGUGGAUGGUGGUGCAUGGCCGUUCUUAGUUCGUGGAGCGAUUUGUCUGGUUUAUUCCGAUAACGAGCGAGACUCUGGCCUACUAAAUAGUUUACACAUUGCUUCUGUGUGCAUAACUUCUUAGAGGGAUUUUCGGUGUUCAGCCGCAAGAAAUUGAGCAAUAACAGGUCUGUGAUGCCCUUAGAUGUCCGGGGCUGCACGCGCGCUACACUGGCAAAAUCAGCGUGCUUGUCCUUCCCCGAAAGGAGUUGGUAAACUCGUGAAAAUUUGCCGUGAUUGGGAUCGGAAAUUGCAAUUAUUUUCCGUGAACGAGGAAUUCCAAGUAAGUGCGAGUCAUCAACUCGCGUUGAUUACGUCCCUGCCCUUUGUACACACCGCCCGUCGCUGCCCGGGACUGAGCCGUUUCGAGAAACUUGGAGACCGCUGAUCUGGUAACUUCGAUUGCCAUUUUGGUGGGAACCAAUUUAAUCGCAGUGGCUUGAACCGGGCAAAAGUCGUAACAAGGUA